UUUGCUUCUGACUUGUAGCCCAGAAUAAACACCUAGAGGUUUUUGGGUUCCUGAAACAUCUUCAAAACCUCCUAGAAAGGAUAUAUUCCUUUUUCUGAGGCUAUUUUUUUUCUUUUUCCUAGCAAAUAUUCUUUAACCUAUAUUUACAUUUGGGUACAUUUAACCUACAUUUAGAGAAAGACAUACCCACCUGCAUUUUAAUGAUCCGUUUAAAUACAGUUUGUUUUCUUGUUGUUGUUGUUUUGUUUUGUUUUGAGACAGAGUUUUUCUCUUUUUGCCCAGGCUGGUGUGAAAUGGCACAAUUCUGGCUCACCACAAUCUCCACCUCCCAGGUUCAUGUGAUUCUCCUGCUUCAGCUUCCUGGGUAGCUAGGAUCACAGGUGCCUGCUACCAUGCCCAGAGUCUCACUCUGUCACCUAGCCUGGAGUGCAGUGGACAAUCUUGGCCCAGUGCAACCUCUGUCUCCUGGUUUCAGGCAAUUCUCCUGCCUCAACCUCCCGAGAAGCUGGAACUACAGGCACCCACCACCAUACUCAGGUAAUUUUUGUAUUUUUAGUAGAGAUGUGGUUUCACCACGUUGACCAUGCUGGUCUUGAACUCCUGACCUCAUGAUCUGACCACUUUGGCCUCCCAAAGUGCUGGGAUUACAGGCAUGAGCCACCAUGCCGGGCUGUGCUUGGCCAUUUUGUAUGUGUAAUUGCUGUCUUCUAACUGCUGGUAGAGUUUGUAUUUGUUGAGGUUUGUGUAAAUACAUGUAGCCAUGCCUACAUGUAUACAUUUGCUUGCAUGCCUGAUGGUAAGUGGGCUUUCUGUGUGUCUGUGUUUGUCUCCUUAUUAAUGUGAUUAUCCAUUUCAUUCCAUGCUCACUAUUUACUACUUCCUCAGAAUUCCAGCUUUUUUGUUUGUUUCUUUGUUUGUUUCUCUUCCUAUCACCUAUUUCCCCAAUACAGGGUUCAUAUAACCCUUUUCAAUGAUGUAAGCCUUUCUUGGACUAAAUUGCUAUUUGAGAAUUUAGUUUUUCCUCUUUUUUUCUUCCUCCUAGUUUGUUCCUCUGUAUCUUAUAAAAAUGUCCAUACUAUUGUGAGUCAAAAACAUAUUUUCCUUAUUUGUGGGAGGAGAAGAGCAAAGAGAAAUCAUUGGUAUUUCAUUGAAAGGAAGUACAAGUCAAAGAGAUAUAUGAAUGUUAUCUUUGAUAUAGUGAUUUAAAAGUUUAUGAAGAAUAAAUAUAUAAAUUUUUAAACCAGAAUUUAUUUAUUUUUCUUCUCUGUGUAAGGUACGGGUCUGGGUAAUAUUUAAAGUGGUAAUAAUGUUCAGUUCUUCACAUUUGGCUGGAAGUUGUGCUAAAAGAAGAAAAUAUGAAUAUAAGUUAUUUAGUCAUCUGAUAAAUAGGUAUAUCUCAAAAGGCAGUUACAGUGGAAAGAAUAUAGGACUUGGAGAAUAAGUAUCUGCAUUGAAACCCCAGGCCUUCACAUACUGGCUUCUCUACACAGAAUCUUUAUUUUAGAAUGCAGAUUGGAUUGUAUUAUGUUUCCUUGUCUUUUAAAGGCUUCUGAUUGCCCUUAGGAUAAAGAAAACAAUUUUUAACACUGCUUAUAGUUCCUGCAUGAUCCAGCUCCAUCUUUCAGUGCUGACCCACAUGUACUGUGAGUACUGAAACACGUGUACAUGCAUCAUGGCUAUGACCAUGCCCCAGCCACUACAGCCAUAGUUCAUUGAGUAGACAAUGCUCCUUCUCACUGGACCAUUGCUCCGUUGUUCUCUCUGAAGCACUCCUUUCCUUGCCUUUUAAACUUCCACUACUCCCACUUGGAACAGAUUAGUUUUUACAGGUUAUCAUGAAACAUGUUGCUUUCCUUUGGAUCACUUAUCUCCAUUUUUAGUUGAAUAUUAUUUUGUGUCAUCAAUGUUGCCACCUCAACUGGACUGUUAACUCCCUAAGAGUGGGAACUACAUCUGUGUCCCUGAUGUAGUUCCCAGUAGCUCCUGUGCCUAUCUCUGUUUCUGACACACAUGGCUUUUUAAAAAAUUUAAUCACUUGAAAAAUCAUUGAACUGCUCAGAAACAAAAUGUUGCCAGUUAUAAAAUGGGGAUAAGAAAUUACUUGUUAGAUUAACUGAAUGUGCAUAAAAACUUUGCAGAAUGCUCUAAAAUAUAGGGUAGGAUAAUAAUUAUAAUAAUAACCAAGAGGAAUUGCUGCUCUAAUUAAUUUGGUCAAUAGAGAAAAACUAGUCAGUGAUAAGUGUGUGCAGAUAACUUUAAAAUAAAUAAUUGUCUAAUGCAUAAAUAAGAGCAAAAUAUGUCUAUAUUUAGAUAUCUUCAGGUAAUUUAAAAGAAAAUAAAAUCAGACUGGGCGUGGUGGCUCACGCCAGUAAUCCCAGCACUUUGGGAGGCCGAGGUGGGUGGAUCACGAGGUCAAGAGAUCGAGACCAUCCUGGUCAACAUGGUGAAACCCCGUCUCUACUAAAAAUACGAAAAAUUAGCUGGGCAUGAUGGCGCAUGCCUGUAGUUCCAACUACUUGGGAGGCUGAGGCAGGAGAAUUGCCUGAACCCAGGAGGCGGAGGUUGCAGUGAGCUGAGAUCCCGCCAUUUAACUCCAGCCUGGGUAACAAGAGCGAAACUCCGUCUCAAAAAAAGAAAAGAAAAGAAAAGAAAAAAUCAAACAAAAUGAAAGUUUCUUUCUCUGACAGUACCUCCAGCUUUAAUCUACAGUUGUAACCAUUUAAAAUUGCUUUUUGUUUUUAGCUUUUAUCUAGUUAUCAUGGGAUCUCUAAAUUUUAUGUUUUAAUUCCCACUUCUCGAUUUAUCAGUUUUAGACAGUAUCUACUAUCUUGCAGCUAUGAAAGAUGAGUUUAGAUCAUCACACUAAUUUCUAUAUUUCCAAUUUCUAUAUGCAAUUUUUAUUAUUUAUAUUAUGAUGAUUCUUCUAGUAUUACAUUUUUGACUUUAAGUAAUAUUUUAAACAUUUCUUGCUUCAUGUAAUUUAAGAGUAGCUACUUAUCUCACAUUGCAUAAGAGGAAAGUAGUGUACAUAUAUUUUUCCUUCAUUCUUCUUGCCCUUUACAUACAUUUCCUAAGUUCUGUCUGCUGUGCCACUGUUUGAUUCGGUCAGGUGAUGUUCUGUUUCAUUCUGUCAAGUCUUAUAUUAUCUUCUGUGUUUUCACCAAAGGUUGAUUUUAAAAACUAAAACAAAGCAACCUCAUAAACAUUAACAUUAUGUAACUGUGAUAAAUAUUAUAAAUAAACAACAUUAAAAACAAAUAAAUAUUAUUUCAAUCAAAGUACUGUAAAGGGACCCAUUGAAAAAGGUUGUACUCCUAAUUGAAACUCUGCCAAAAAAAAAAAAGAGAAAGUUCCAAGUUCUUAAUGCUCAAAAUUAUAUUUUAAUGUGCUCAAUAUGUGGUCUGUGAUUUUUUAUACAGCUUUUUGUUCUCAAAAGAGUUUCUAAUUGUUUCUUUGUUAUUACUGGCAACAAAAUACCCAUAAAAGUUUAGAAAUUAAUCAUACAGAUUGUAGAAUGUAACUGAUUUUCUCCUUAAGGAUUUCUUUUUUAUAGCAGCCACUGAUUUCUUGCUUUUAUUUGUACUGAUGGCACAGAGAUUUCAUUGCUUAAAUCCAAUGGAUCCAAGUGUGCUUCUCUUUCUUGACUUCCUUUUUGGUCUUUCAGGAACAUAAACUCAAGUAAUUUUAUUUAUUGAAGGAUGCUUGCAAGGAGGUAUUUCUUAAUCUCUGAGAUCUGAAAAUGCUGCUAAUUUAUCUUUAAAUUUGAUUUAUAUUUUGACUGGGUAUAAAAUUUCAGGCUUUAACUUAUUAUUCCCUGGAAAUAUCAAAUGUAUUGGUC
rnacentral:lncRNA from 1 species